rnacentral:lncRNA from 8 species
AUGUCACUUUUCAUUCAAGGUUUUCUCAUCAUGUUAAGAUACACAGUUAAUUCUGUAGUUGCAGGGAUGUUUGCAGAGGAAAAAGAACCAGUUGCUAAAGUAGAGGACGAAGAAGAAGAUGAAGAGGAAGAUGAGGAGGAUGAGGAAGAAGUGGAAGAUUAUGAUGAGGAUGAGGAUGAAGAAGAAGAGGAAAAUGAGGAUGAGGAAGAAGGGGAAGAAGAUGAGGAUGAAGAAGAUGAGAAUGAAGAAGAAGCUGAUGAUGAGGAAGAAGAUGAAGAAGAUGAAGAAGAGGACGAGGAAGCAGCAGCUGAGGCUGAGAUAGAUGAGGAUGAGGAUGAUGAUGAUGAUGGUGAGGCAGAUGAAGAACAGCCUGCUGCAGUGGCUGAAGAAGAGGAUGAUGACGAUGAGGAAGAGGAUGUUGCAGAUGAUGAUGAAGAAGCUGCUGCGGAGGCUGAUGAUCUUGAGGAAGAAGAGGCUGCUGCUGAUGAUGAGGAAGCGGCUGCUACUGCUGAGGAUGAAGAAGAUGAGGAGGAGGAGGAGGAGGAGGAAGAGGCUGUUGCAGCGGAUGAGGUGGCUGAGGAAGAGAGAGAUGAUGGUGAGGAUGAAGCUGCUGCUGAAGUCACUGCUGAGACUGAUGAUGAUGAUGAUGAAGAGUAUGAAGCUCCCAUUCUGAUUGAUGUUGAUGACACAGAGACAGAUGCUUCUGCUGGAGAUGAUGAUGGUGAGGAGAGAGAGGAGGAUGACACCACAGCUGAAGCUGAAGCUGAAACUGAAACAAUUACAGAUGUGGAUGCCAGUGAUACUGCUGUUGCUUCCACUGAUGAUGACAACGAUGAUGAUGAUGAUGGUAAAGAGGAGGAAAUUGAUGUCACAGAAGAUGUUGUUUAUGACAUCCAGGACAAUGACAUUGACAUUGUUGCGGAACAUGUAGAUGCUGUUGCCUCUUCUGCCGAUGUUGAUGAUGUUGAUGAUGAUGAUGAGGAUAAAGAUGAUGAGGAAGAUGAUAGCAUAGAUGAUGACAAAACAGAUGAUGAUGCUAAACCCAUUGACCUAGAAGAUAACGAUGAUGACGAUGAUGAUAUCAAGGUCAAUCUUGCUGAUAGUGAGGAUAUUGAUAUCUCAGACACAUUAGCUGAGGAUACAACUGAUGACUCUAAAGAUAGUUUACAGGACACUGAUGAUGACGAUGAUGACACUGUCAGUGAGGACAGUGGUGCCAUCGUUGAUGACGUUGACAAAACAAUGGAGGAUUCAGGAGAGACUGUCAGUGAUGUCGCAGACAUUUCCGAUGACACAUCAGAUGAUGAUGAUGAGGGGAAGGAUGCAGCUGAAGUGAUCGGCAAAGAUGAUGACGCCGAUGAAGGUGAUGACAUCACACCAGAAGCCUUUGAUAGUUCAGCUCCUGAGGAAGAUGAUCUUUCCAAGGAUGAAGAAGAGGAUGAUGAUGGUGGCAUUGAUGACCUUCUUUUGACAGUAUUGCCACCUGUUGAAGAAACAAUAACCCCACCUUCUGAAGAGGCUAAAGAGACUGAAGAAGAGGAAAAGACAGAAGAGAUCCAAGGUGAAAACUACCCAUCAUGCCAUGCUUCUCCCACUCUUAGAGUUCAAAUGGGUACCAAAUGUUGUGUAACAUACUGA